UACGUAGGGUGCGAGCGUUAAUCGGAAUUACUGGGCGUAAAGCGUGCGCAGGCGGUUCGUUGUGUCGGUGGUGAAAGCCCCGGGCUUAACCUGGGAAUGGCCAUGGGAAACUGGCGAACUGGAGUGUGGCAGAGGGGGGUGGAAUUCCGCGGUGUAGCAGUGAAAUGCGUAGAGAUGCGGAGGAACACCAGUGGCGAAGGCGACGUUAC
rnacentral:rRNA from 1 species